rnacentral:rRNA from 1 species
GACGAACGCUGGCGGCGUGCCUAAUACAUGCAAGUCGAACGCUUCUUUCCUCCCGAGUGCUUGCACUCAAUUGGAAAGAGGAGUGGCGGACGGGUGAGUAACACGUGGGUAACCUACCCAUCAGAGGGGGAUAACACUUGGAAACAGGUGCUAAUACCGCAUAACAGUUUAUGCCGCAUGGCAUAAGAGUGAAAGGCGCUUUCGGGUGUCGCUGAUGGAUGGACCCGCGGUGCAUUAGCUAGUUGGUGAGGUAACGGCUCACCAAGGCCACGAUGCAUAGCCGACCUGAGAGGGUGAUCGGCCACACUGGGACUGAGACACGGCCCAGACUCCUACGGGAGGCAGCAGUAGGGAAUCUUCGGCAAUGGACGAAAGUCUGACCCAGCAACGCCGCGUGAGUGAAGAAGGUUUUCGGAUCGUAAAACUCUGUUGUUAGAGAAGAACAAGGACGUUAGUAACUGAACGUCCCCUGACGGUAUCUAACCAGAAAGCCACGGCUAACUACGUG